UUGACUCUUCUUCCCCUCUGCCUCCGCGUUGAAUAGACAACACCAAGCAAGGCAUCGGAGGCCCAAAGGAAGGCCCGGGUCGAGAGCAUGAUGCCUGCAAGGGCGCAAGGCCCAUUUCUUCUCCGUGCAGACGCUUUCUUCUUCCUCGAUCCUCACCUCCGGCUUGGUCACCGGCUCACCGCUGCUUGCCUGCUUGGUUCGAUGGGAAUCGGAACCCCAGGUCUCCAUCGAUUCGAGCGGGCGCGGCUGGUAGAGCAGAGGAGCGGAGGGCCGGAGCGGAGCGACAUGUAAGGGUACUAUUUUCUGCUUCUGGAAGGGACGGAAAGGCGGCGGCGGCCGCCGGUGAAGGCCCGGAGGAUGAGGGGAGAGACCGAGCACCCAACCAGGGAAGAAAAGCUUCAGAGAUUGAUCCAUCUAGACGAAAUCACCAGGUGAAAUUUCAACCAUAAGUAUGGUCUCAGUUUACUGAAUCCUGAUGAUGAGCACCAAGAAUAACAAGGACAGUAAGCCCUGAAAGGCUGAAAGCUCUUUGGCAUGCGGCAUAACCUGAUCAUGAACUGCUCCAGGAGAAACACUGAAUUCAGAGCAGAGCAAGCAAGGAAUUCUCAUUGAUGGGCUGUCCAUGGGAUCAAAAUCAUGCUUUAUCGGUGUUGUUUUUUAUCCUAUUUUGCUUCAAAAACAUAUUGAUAGGAAUUGUACCAUACUCAACAAAGAUAUCUUCAGUUCACACUGAUCGAA